UACGUAGGGGGCUAGCGUUGUCCGGAUUUAUUGGGCGUAAAGAGCGUGUAGGCGGCCAUGUAGGUCCGGUGUGAAAACUCGAGGCUUAACCUCGAGAUGUCAUCGGAAACCAUUUGGCUAGAGUCCGGAAGAGGAGAGUGGAAUUCCUGGUGUAGCGGUGAAAUGCGCAGAUAUCAGGAAGAACACCAGUAGCGAAGGCGGCUCGCUGGGCCAUUCCUGACGCUGAGACGCGAAAGCUAGGGGAGCGAACAGG
rnacentral:rRNA from 1 species